rnacentral:rRNA from 1 species
CCUACGGGAGGCAGCAGUAGGGGAUAUUGCUCAAUGGGGGAAACCCUGAAGCAGCAACGCCGCGUGGAGGAUGAAGGUUUUCGGAUUGUAAACUCCUUUUGUUAGAGAAGAUAAUGACGGUAUCUAACGAAUAAGCACCGGCUAACUCCUUGCCAGCAGCCGCGGUAAUACGGAGGGUGCAAGCGUUACUCGGAAUCACUGGGCGUAAAGAGCGCGUAGGCGGGAUAGCAAGUCAGAUGUGAAAUCCUAUGGCUUAACCAUAGAACUGCAUUUGAAACUGUUAUUCUAGAGUAUGGGAGAGGCAGGUGGAAUUCGUGGUGUAGGGGUAAAAUGCGUAGAGAUCAAGAGGAAUACUCAUUGCGAAGGCGACCUGCUAGACCAUAACUGACGCUGAUGCGCGAAAGCGUGGGGAGCAAACAGGAUUAGAUACCCCUGUAGUC